rnacentral:misc_RNA from 1 species
AAAACCCUUCUCAACAUUCCAGUCCCUGUCAUCGCACUUGUGGAAAGCCAUCACACGUGCCCGCCAGCUGAAGCCGGAGGACAUCGCUGUCUUCACAGUCUUCGCUGAUUGCCGGAAAAGGGUGGACCCCCCGAUGCCGGAAAAUUACUUUGGAAACCUCAUUCAGGCCAUAUUCACCGGCAUGGCAGCAGGGUUGUUGGUGGCGAAUCCGCCGGAGUUCGGUGCCGGGUUGAUACAGAAAGCCAUAGAGAUGCAUGACUCGAAAGCCAUCGAUGCGCGGAACAGUGAGUGGGAGAGCAACCCUAGGAUAUUUCAGUACAAGGAUGCCGGAGGAAACUGUGUGGCGGUGGGGAGCUCGCCGAGGUUUAAGGUUUACGAGAUGGAUUUCGGGUGGGGGAAGCCGGAGAGUGUGAGGAGUGGAUUUAACAACAGGUUUGAUGGGAUGGUGUAUCUGUAUCAAGGCAAGAGUGGUGGG